rnacentral:lncRNA from 1 species
UUACCUGUACCUGUGUUUCAGCCUUGUGAUCUGCAUGAAGUUUGGUGUUUUACACAUGGGUGAGUCAAUGCAUAUUUGAUAAAUAAAUUCUAAUAAAAGGAGAAACCGAUUCCUGAG